AACCGUGUACGUACAAGCAGUGGGAGCCCCACCACUAAGCCAGUGGUGAACUCCACAUACGCAUCCUUUGCUGAGGAUACGGUUAACGGAGCGAAAGCGACGUUCAACCGCAAAAGAAGCAGAGGGGGCUUAGUGGUGGGGUGACUGCGUACCUUUUGUAUAAUGGGUCAGCGACUUAUAUUCUGUAGCAAGGUUAACCGUAU
rnacentral:rRNA from 1 species